CCAGGGUUGGCCGAGCGGUUUAGGCAACGAACUCAUAAUUCGUGCAAGGCAGGUUCAACUCCUGCACCCUGGA
rnacentral:tRNA from 2 species